AAAUCCCAUUAGGGAGGAAAAGAAACCAACAGGGAUUACCUCAGUAACGGCGAGUGAAGCGGUAACAGCUCAAAUUUGAAAUCUGGCCUCACGGUCCGAGUUGUAAUUUGUAGAGGAUGCUUCGAGCAUGGUCUGGCCUAAGUUCCUUGGAACAGGACGUCAUAGAGGGUGAGAAUCCCGUAUGCGGCCAGGUGCCUACGCUCAUGUGAAGCUCCUUCGACGAGUCGAGUUGUUUGGGAAUGCAGCUCAAAAUGGGUGGUAAAUUUCAUCUAAAGCUAAAUAUUGGCCAGAGACCGAUAGCGCACAAGUAGAGUGAUCGAAAGAUGAAAAGCACUUUGGAAAGAGAGUUAAACAGUACGUGAAAUUGUUGAAAGGGAAGCGCUUGCAACCAGACUUGCGCGCGGCCGAUCAUCCGGUGUUCUCACCGGUGCACUCGGCCGUGCUCAGGCCAGCAUCGGUUUUGGCGGCUGGAUAAAGGCCCUAGGAAUGUAGCUCCUCUCGGGGAGUGUUAUAGCCUAGGGUGCAAUGCAGCCUGCUGGGACCGAGGACCGCGCUCGGCUAGGAUGCUGCG
rnacentral:rRNA from 1 species